rnacentral:rRNA from 1 species
CCUACGGGAGGCUGCAGUGAGGAAUAUUGGUCAAUGGGCGCGAGCCUGAACCAGCCAAGUAGCGUGAAGGAUGACUGCCCUACGGGUUGUAAACUUCUUUUAUACAGGGAUAAAGUGAGGCACGUGUACCUUUUUGUAUGUACUUUAUGAAUAAGGAUCGGCUAACUCCGUGCCAGCAGCCGCGGUAAUACGGAGGAUCCGAGCGUUAUCCGGAUUUAUUGGGUUUAAAGGGAGCGUAGAUGGGGUGUUAAGUCAGUUGUGAAAGUUUGAGGCUCAACCGUAAAAUUGCAAUUGAUACUGGCAGUCAUGAGUACAGUUGAGGUAGGCGGAAGUAGGGGUGUAGCGGGGAAAUGCUAGAGAUCACGAAGAACUCCGAUUGCGAAGGCAGCUUACUAAACUGCCACUGACAUUGAUGCUCGAAAGUGUGGGUAGCAAACAGGAUUAGAUACCCCAGUAGUC